AAGUCGAGUAUUUUUAAGGAUUGCUGAGAUACCCACCUCCACAGCUUCGGAUAUGGGUGAGACGCUAUUGGUCUUCCUGGAGCCCACGCGGAACUUGGCAGCCUUGUAGAUCUUCCAGUACACGAAGAGCACCACACAGAGCGGCAGGUAGAAGGCGCCUACGGUGGAGAACACGGCGUAGGAAGGCUCGCGGCUUACCUGGCACUCCUCGCUGCCCUCAGAGUACGUCUCUCCCCAGCCAAAAAGCAGCGGGGCCAGAGAGAUGACAGCGGAGAGUGCCCAGGUGAGCGCGAUCAUGACGUUGGAGACGCACUUGCGGGUGCGGAGCGUGUAUUCCAUGUGGCGCGUGAUGGACCAGUAGCGGUCCAGGGCUAUGGCCGUCACGUUCCAGAUGCUGGCCGUGCAGCAAAGCACGUCGCACGCGAUCCAAAGCUGGCACAGCCUCCGACCUAGCUGCCAGCGGCGCCCGGACAGCUCGUGCACCAGGCUCAGCGGCAUGACCAGCGCGGCCACCAGGACAUCCGAGACGGCCAUGGAUGCCACCAGGUUGUGGGGCACGCGGUGGAAGGUGCGUACACGGAGGAUGGUCGCCAGCACCAGCAGGUUCCAGGCGAACGUCGCCGCCACCAGAAAGCCCAGCAAGGUGAGAAUAAGCACUCCGAAGACCGAGAGCAGGGGCGAGCUGGGGCGCAGGUCGUCUUUGCCGAGGCUGUGGUUGGUCUCCAAAGGGGAGGGGGUGGAGAGGGAAAAGGAGGUUAGGUUCACAGGUAAAUCCAUCUCUGGGUCAGGAGACCGCCCUGGGGUACUUGCAGAAGGGGUGUUCAGGAGGACUUAAGGCG
rnacentral:lncRNA from 1 species